rnacentral:lncRNA from 1 species
CCGGCGGUGGCGGCGAAGGUGGCGGAGUAAAGAAUGGUAUCGGCGGGAAAGACGGAACCGGAGGAAAGAAUGACGGUGGUGAAGGUGCGGGGAAAAUAGGUGGAAAAACCGACGGCGGAGGCGUAGGGAAAAUUGGAGGGAAUAUUGAAGGCGGGGGCUGGAAUGGAUUUGGAAUUAAAGGUGGCUGGAAUGGAUUUGGAGGAAAUACAAAUGUUUUCUGAUCAUUUGAAAAUUCAUCAUUUUUAGGUCCUGGAGGGAGAAUUGGAAGGUCUGGAAGUUGUGGCAGAGGAGGAAGCCUAGGCAGAAGUGGGAGUGGUGUAAAUUGACCUGGGUUAUCGAUCGGGGGUAUAAUUGAUGCUGGUGGAUCUUGGAGCGGUGGUGGAAACGGAGGAUCAAAAUUUGGAGAAUUAAUUAUCG